rnacentral:rRNA from 1 species
GACGAACGCUGGCGGCGUGCUUCAUACAUGCAAGUCGAACGAGAAGCUGACUUCGGUCAGUGGAAAGUGGCGGACGGGUGAGUAAUAUGUAGGAAAUCUGCCUUUAGGAGGGGGACAACAGAGGGAAACUUCUGCUAAUACCCCAUAUGAGCGUAGCUGAAAUGCUAUUCUUGAAAACUCCGGUGCCUAAAGAUGAGCGUGCAUCUGAUUAGCUAGUUGGUAGUGUAAUGGACUACCAAGGCGACGAUCAGUAGCUGGUUUGAGAGGAUGAUCAGCCACAACGGGACUGAGACACAGCCCAUACUCCUACGGAAGGGAGCAGUAGGGAAUUUUGCGCAAUGGGCGAAGGCCAGACGCAGCAACGCGGCGUGAGCGAGUAAGCCCUUCGGGGUGUAAAGUUCUGUCAGUGGGGACGAAACGUGACGGUACCCACAGAGGAAGCACCGGCUAACUACGUG